CCCCCCGGCCUCCUGGAGAGAGAGAAGCCCGCCGCCCGCCUGAGGGGAGGGGGGGGAAAUACUGUUUUUCUGCGCAUGCGUCGAGUAUGUACGCCUCACUAGCUCGAAACGCAGCGAGGUUGUCCGUCUUUGUAUGUCGCUUCUUCUGCUGCGUUUUAAGUCAGUCCACUGAAUUCAGUGGGAUUUACAGCUUUAAAUCUUUCACGCUUAGUCGGGUGGAUGGGAUACACGCCCCGCCCCCCGCCCCAUGUCAGACGUUUGAAACGUUUCCUCUGUUGCCACACAUUUUGAUUUAAAUCGAGAGUGAAUCGGCUUGGGCAAAGGGAAAACACAUCAAAACUCAAGUGUUUCAUAAUAAAAUAAGAGAUUGUUGCAUUUAUAUCCCACCUUUUCUCCUCCCAAGGAGUUCAAAGUGGUGCAUGUUGUAUACUCACCAUCCUCACAAACAACCCUGUGAGGUAGGCUAGGCUGGGAGGCAGCAACUGGCCCAUGUGAUGGUGAGCUUUCAUGGCCGAGUGGGGGAUUUGAACCCUGGUCUCCUCCAGGUCCCAGUCCAACACUUGAACCACUACAACCACACAUAGGGAUUGUGCCACUUAAUUUGACCUGUCCAAUAACUUGUAUAACUAAGAACUAGUGUCUGCAUUUGCUUUUUUUCCUCCUCCCUCUCACUGACUUUCCUUUUCGUGUUGUGUCUUUUUGAUGGUAAACGUGAUAGCAGGGAUUGUCGUGUUACUAUAAUUGCAACCUGCUCUUGAGAGCCUUUCUUCAGCUCCAAAUAAUAGCCUGCUCCAAAUAAUAGCAUUUAAUUGUCAUGAGUGCUGGUACUUUAUAUUCAUAUUUUCAGUAUUGGGGGCUGUGGUGAUGAGGGAUUAGGCUUGUAUGACCACAUAGGCGCAGAUAUCUACUUUGCCUACCCCUAUCCCUCUCUUAUGGUGCUGAGUUCCAGAUUUUAGAAUUCCUACCUUAAUGGGAUUACGAGUUUUUGAAAAGCACCCUUUUACCAAAGCACCACAUCCCCAGUUCCCAAGGCAGCUCUGCGGGCCUUCUAAUUAGCACACUAAAAAUAGGAGGGAUGGUCUGGUUUAUCCAGUUUCUUAUGCCUGUGUCUGCAGACAACUUGGAAUCUUUGUUGAGCUAUUUGGACCAAACUGGUGAAGUGGGUGUGUGGAAAUAUGAUCCUCUUCAGUCACAUACACUCUUGUCAAUCUGUGCAGACACCAGUGGCCUAGGGUGAAAAGCAGGCACUCUCAGCAUUGAGCAGAUGCAAGGCAGAUGCAUGUUGUAAGAUGCUUUUGUCAGGUUGUAUCUCCAUUCAAGUAUCACCUAAAUCACCAUAGCUGUGAUACGAUAUUAUAGGUAGCUUCUACAGCUUCUUGAGACAGGCUUAUACAGCCAUAUAACUAGGCCACCAGGGGUUUGGUAACCUAUUGUUUUUGCUAGUUUCUUGGGUCACCACGCAUCAGAACCGAAAGAGUCCUGCUCAUACCAGCCAGGUCAGCAUCCUCUUUACCACAGUGACCAGCAUCUUUUUCAACCCAUGGACCACUUUCCAUUCCUGAGCAACCUUCCAAUGGCCACAUGGUAGAUGGUGUCAUAAGCAAAAGUGAGAAGAGCAACAAAUGCAUAUUUUACUUGCACACACAUUUCUGUCCUCCAUCCAGACAAAUGAGAGGCUUUAUCUCAAGGACACAUUCCAGCCAGGGGCAUACUUAGGGGUUCGGCAGGUUGGUGUCCUCUAAGGCUGCAGGCUCAGAAGGACGCAAAAAUCGCACCACUCUGCCUCAAAGUGGCCAGAAGCCUGCCCGACAGUAUUGCAGCAACCUUACAGGGCCCUCUCCCUAGUCAGCCAGCAGUCCUGUUAGAAAUAUGAGCAAGGCUCAGAGGGAAGAAAGAGCCUAGGUAUGCUUCUGGUCACUGGUGGCACACAAAAGGUGAAAGGCAAUGGAAAGCAAACUUUUUAGAGUUUCUGCACCAUGGUCUCUCCUGGCUUUGGAGGUCCAGAUACAUCUCCUUGCCAAGGGUGCAAGGGAGCCUAGGUAUACCUUUGAUUCCAGCCAGGCAAAAAAUACUAAAGCACUUGGGGUGUGAAGGAGGUCCAGUGAGGGGUGAUGCCUGGGAAAAGUUCCAAAGGAUAAAGAUUUGAGCCUUCCCACUCCUGAAAUUCCCCACAUGAGCUAGAAUGUUUCCAGAAAGCUCACAACCAGAGCAUCAAGGCAAUAGCUCUUCCCUGCUGUUUCCCCCACAACUGGUUAAAAGUAGUAACCCUUUCCUUUUUGUUCUUCAAGGUGCAGUUACUUGUUGGCCCUGUGCCCAAUGCCUAAUUCAGCUAUUGACUAUUGACGGGGUGGAGUCAACAGUUGCUAGCAAGCUUUUUGCACAACAAGCGCCUGAUCUGGAACUGUCUAUCUGAACAGCAGAAUUUGGAAUUGCCCCACCAGUUCCCUUGUAGACCUACAAACACUUCACUUAGUGCCAGUGUUAGAACUAGGAGCCUGCUCUUGCCUUACAUAAAAGUAGAGGUGUCUGUGCCCUCCUUUAUAUAUAGUCACUCUAGCAGGAAGUGAAAGACUUUUUCAAAGCACAGGCAGAAACGGUGUGAAAAGGGAAAUGGAGACUCUUUCUUUAUGAACAAUGUAAGCAAUCUGAGCAAUGUCUACUGUACAGGAAAAGCAGGAAUUUGCACCUAGUUAACAAUAGGCAAGCUGAGCCUAUUUUUGCUCUGACAUUUCCAGCUGACUCUGCCAUGCACAAGUGCUAUAUGUGACUCCUCUCAAACAGUAGGCACAGCUGACAUGAAUGACCCUGGUUUCAGUGUCCUAUACCUUCUCAGUUGCUGAAGAAUGCUGGGAGGUCACAGGAAGUAACAGUGGCCCAUGGACAAGGCUAAUCCUUACAUGCCGCUUCCCAUUCCUGUUCAGGAAUCAUGAAAGGAAUGUUACCGCUCUUAUUGUUGGUCCAUUAGCUCAGCAAAUAUUUAUUUGUAUGGUAGGUAGCAUUUGGGGGAUGCUGACUCUUGUCACAAAAUGUUAGCCAGUUCUGUCUGAGCACCUAUGGGUAAAAUUUAUUUAGAUAUACAAGUGAGACCUGCAAGAAAGAAGAAAAAAGGUUGUCGUGUGGAGUGCUGCUGUUCAAAGUGUCCAGCCAGUCAUGCCCUCUUCAGGAUACUCCAUUCCAUUCUAUCACACACACACACACACACACACACACACACACACACACAUACUUUCUGCUUAGGGAUCCCCCCCCCCGGUACUUCUGAAAACUUGCCUAUUAAACAUUAGGCAGGCACCAAAGCUAUAUAUUGUUUUAGAUGCCUGCUAAAGACUUCUGUUUAUUCCAGCAAGCCCACCCAGACAUGUAAUAUAGUUAUGUAUACAUACUUGUUUUUAAAAUUUUGCUGAUUUGCUCUGUGUAUUAUUGAUAGUUAUUUUGUAUAUAACACAGGAAGCCAUUAUGAAGCAGUGGAUCAACUGUUGUAUCAAAUGUUACCAAUAUGACUUUGUCAUGUCAGUCCCAAGAUUAUCAAUAAUAUAGUCCAUUCAUUAUCCAAACUAUCACCUAGCUGUCACAGAAACCAAUAUAAACAUACUUUGAUUUCCAUUACUGAAGUUAGAUCACACCUGAAAUCUAAAAAAAGUUGUUUAGUGAUGACUGUUAGGAGCUGCUGAUAUCAGUUUGAACUCGUUUUUGUUCCAAACUCAGGCUUUUGUUAGUUAUUUGAAAGGACUGCUUGAUACUGUAAGAAAGAAGCAUUUGUGCGAAGUGUGAUUUUUAGCCAGGAAAGCUUCACACAUGCACUCAGAAGCUUAUUUAUUUUUUGUCUGUGUGAUACACUUGUAAGAGCGGUAUGACGCAUGUGCAAUUGGAUUAAUCAUGCAUAUUUUUAGAAUACCUUCCCAUCUAGAGAUUGGUCUGAGGGUACGUGAUGUUGUUACAUUGCAUAAGCUGUCUGAUGCCAAAAGAUCACAGUUUUCUUAGCCCAAAUAUCUUGGUUUUCUUUUUGAAAGUCAAGCUUUGGUAACUCUGUCUAUGUCCUUUUAGCUUAGUCUAGUGGAACUACAUUAAUUUACAUAACUGAGGGAAGCAUGCAGUGGUUCCGUUCACGCAGCACCACGAGAAUGGUUUGCUGCAAAUCUGCAAAGCACUCCUGUUUGCUUGCUGCCAGCUAGUGAUCAAGAGCAAUGUGAGUGAGUUUCUCCGCUUUAGAAAUAUAUAUAUAAAUUUUUUUCAUUGCCCAGUAACACCUUAGAGACCAACUAAGUUUGUUCUUGGUAUGAGCUUUUGUGUGCAUGCACACUUUUUCAGACCUACCUGAAUCUUCUUCAGCUACCUACCUGAAUCUGUCUCCACUUUAAUCCAGGAUGUGUGGAAUGAUGAGCUGCUUCCUUUUGUGUGUGUUAGCCUUGCUUUCGUGCUUGCUUGCUCUCCCAUUGUGUGGUGCGUUGCAUUUAGGUCAGUAAACUGACAGGGCAUCUUUGGCUACGGGUGUCCUUGUGGAGCUGGUGGUACAUUCUCCUAACUGGAAAUAAAGUAAGCAAGUGCACGCACAGUUGGACAACACUGGCUUUUCUUCCCAUGUGCUUGGGCGCAUGUGACAGAAAACCUUUCCUUGGUAGGAAAAUGACAUAGUGGUGGGGCACCAUUCUAUAGUUCACCUCAGGUCACAAAAUGUAUUGGGCUGACUCGGGGUUAAUCCCAUUCCCUAGGAAGGAGGAGCAAAAGUGGAGCAAUCUGAGCACAGGUUGAAACGUUACCUUUCUAUUGAGGCUUUUGCUGGUUAUUGAUGCCAACCAUUCAUUGUAAAAACAAUUCUGACUAUCAAUAGUGCUUGUUUAAUUUAUAAUAUUUUAAUGCAUUCUGUUGUAUUAAGGUUAUGAAAAGUAUGAGAUGUUUGCCUAAGAGAC